rnacentral:lncRNA from 1 species
CUCUAUCCCUAUGAAAUAUCAGGAUUCUGUGCAAGAUUUCGCAAGUAAAAAAGGAGUUUUGAUGAUUUUAAGAAGUUUUAAGGGUCCCAGCAGCUUAGGGGUGGUAAGAAUUGCAGCCAGGACAGCUCUGCAAAGGCCCUCGCAGUGCCGGCCCGGAACACUGCCAGGAAGCCGGGGAAAAGGAGCAGUUCAGCUCAAGAGACAGUCAUGGAGAGACUGGCAAGAUGGUAUCCAAACCUGUUCCUGCAGAUGCUGAAACUGAUUUUAAAAUAUACAAACAAUAAAAGUAAGAAAGUGUAAACAAAAGGGAAAGGAGGAGCAAAACUAUGAAAUCAGACUCACCUGCAGAAAAUGAAGAUGCUAAAACCAGAAGAGGCCAGACUCUGGGGAAGCAGGAGAGAAAGCAGCCAAAUCUGGGUUUCUGCAGAGGCUGUGUCAGAAGCCAAGGCAGCGGGAGUCCGGUUUUGGAUUGCCAGCCUGUGUGUGUGAGUCUGAGCAUGUGAGCAGCUGUAGCGCCCCAGCUCCCCAUCAGCAUAUCAUCCCGGCAGGAGAUAAACUACGUUCAGUUAAGUCUGAAAGACUGGAAGGAAUUGGGGUGAUAAGAAAUUGAUGCACUGUUGGCGGGGCACGGUGGCUCACGCCUGUAAUCCCAGCAC